rnacentral:rRNA from 1 species
UGCCGGGCUAAAAAGGUCCGGAGGAAGGUGGGGAUGACGUCAAAUCAUCAUGCCCCUUAUGACCUGGGCUACACACGUGCUACAAUGGGCGGUACAAAGGGUCGCGAACCCGCAGGGGGGAGCCAAAUCCCAAAAAGCCGCUCUCAGUUCGGAUUGCAGGCUGCAACUCGCCUGCAUGAAGCCGGAAUCGCUAGUAAUCGCGGAUCAGCAUGCCGCGGUGAAUACGUUCCCGGGCCUU